rnacentral:rRNA from 1 species
UACGAAGGGUGCAAGCGGUACUCGGAAUUACUGGGCGUAAAGCGUGCGUAGGUGGUUCGUUAAGUCUGAUGUGAAAGCCCUGGGCUCAACCUGGGAAUGGCAUUGGAAACUGGCGAUCUAGAGUGCGGUAGAGGGUAGUGGAAUUCCCGGUGUAGCAGUGAAAUGCGUAGAGAUCGGGAGGAACAUCUGUGGCGAAGGCGACUGCCUGGACCAGCACUGACACUGAGGCACGAAAGCGUGGGGAGCAAACAGG